rnacentral:lncRNA from 1 species
ACCAUUCACACCAUCAAUUUAUGCACACCAUCAAUUUAGGUCUAUAUUUGACAUUUUCAUGUAACAAAUUUUAUUUCUAACGUAAUGAUGAGCUCGCCAAAUGGUGAUUUUUGACUUAAAAUAGUUGAGGGAGGACAAGCAGAUAUUAGAAGGCAUAUUAAUUAGCCCAGGGGUACAUUCAAUCUAUGAUUUUGGGUUCUUAAUGAUACCUUUUAAUUGAAGCAUCUCUAGAAGCUAUGGCGGGCUCCACUUAUUGGG